rnacentral:rRNA from 1 species
UGAGGAAUAUUGGACAAUGGGCGCAAGCCUGAUCCAGCCAUGCCGCGUGCAGGAAGAAGCAUCUAUGGUGUGUAAACUGCUUUUGUACGGGAAGAAACACUCCUUCGUGAAGGAGCUUGACGGCACCGUAAGAAUAAGGAUCGGCUAACUCCGUGCCAGCAGCCGCGGUAAUACGGAGGGUCCAAGCGUUAUCCGGAAUCAUUGGGUUUAAAGGGUCCGUAGGCGGUUUAAUAAGUCAGUGGUGAAAGCCCAUCGCUCAACGAUGGAACGGCCAUUGAUACUGCUAGACUUGAAUUACAAGGAAGUAACUAGAAUAUGUAGUGUAGCGGUGAAAUGCUUAGAUAUUACGUGGAAUACCAAUUGCGAAGGCAGGUUACUACUUGUGGAUUGACGCUGAUGGACGAAAGCGUGGAGAUCGAACA